rnacentral:rRNA from 1 species
GGAUCAGGUAGGGAUACCCGCUGAACUUAAGCAUAUCAAUAAG